UACAGAGGUCUCAAGCGUUGUUCGGAUUCAUUGGGCGUAAAGGGUGCGUAGGCGGCGCGGUAAGUCGGGUGUGAAAUCUCGGGGCUUAACUCCGAAACUGCAUUCGAUACUGCCGUGCUUGAGGACUGGAGAGGGUAGCGGAAUUCACGGUGUAGCAGUGAAAUGCGUAGAUAUCGUGAGGAACACCAGAGGCGAAGGCGGCUACCUGGACAAUUGCUGACGCUCAGGCACGAAAGCGUGGGGAGCAAAAGGG
rnacentral:rRNA from 1 species